CAGAGCUUUCCACCAAGCCCAGUGAGAGGGCCAAGCUCCUGUCCCAGUACCAAUGCUGGUGCUGCUUCCUGCUGCUGCUGAAGGUCAGGUACAGGGCAUUGGUGGGAGCAGCCAACACUAUCACUUUGGCUGCUGGUGCUGUUUGGUUGAUGUCCCCAGAAACUCACUGUACCAGUGCACUCUGCCCAGGCAUGCUUGAAUCCCAGCAGUUAGCACAGCAUGGCCUCAAGUUGUCCUAUACACACUUCUUGCAAAUCAGUCUUGGGGGCUCAACAUAACUGCUGCCCCCAACCCCCCUACACUGGAACAACUUUGCUACCACAACUCAAAUCUGCCACUUCCAAAAUUUUUUUUGCCUCAUUUCCAUGUUUUUGUUUUUCAUCUGUCCUUUCAGAGAGCCCAGCCAGAAUCAAAUGAUCUAAAUGGGUUUAAGAGUAGAGCACUUCACCUGCCAGUUGGGUCUUAUUUUUCUGAAGAUAUGCUUUUCUUUUGUGAUCACGGAUCCCUUAGCCUUGAUCUUUCAAGAGCUGCCUGGGUGUUUGAAGAGCAACUUACCUUCCACUGAAGGGAAUCUUCCCACGUCUCCCUCCCCAGGAACUGAAGACAGAGAGGCCAAAGUGCGGUCCCUGCUGUCAAGGAUUCUGCCCUCUUCUUGGGGAAGCAAGACCCAUAUUCCUGGGAGAAAGACAGGUAAGUUAAGACCCAACCUGGUGCUUCCAAUAAGGGUGUAUGUGAGAAUAAGGAAAUAUUCAGACCAUUUUCCUAACCCAAACCGUCUAUCCCUUCUUUAGCCCAGCCUAUUGUGUCAAUUUUUUUCCCUCUGUUUCUCUUCCUCGAUUUAGUUGAGAAGGGGCAUAGAGUUAGAGAUGCCUAUAUAUGAUCUCCUUCAUCAAAUGUCUGCCUCUAACUUUUAAGCAGAUACUUCUAC
rnacentral:lncRNA from 1 species